rnacentral:lncRNA from 1 species
CUAUUCUUUGACAUCAUGCUUACUUGAGACCUAGUGGUAUAGCAUUUCAUUUAUGCUUUCUUUCAGAAGUUCUUAUACUCGCUCUUUAUUGCUUAUUAUUAUUGUCGUUACUUACCCUUCUCUUUUGGGGCCUAGUGAAGCUUGUGCUGAGGUCAGUAAUUGCCCACUGGGGACUGUAAAUUAUAGUUCUCACGCCCUCUUUCUCUUGAUGUUUUUCAGAGCCUUCCGCGCCGGGAGAGGCUAGGGACCGCGGGAAGGGAGUUGCUUC